UCUGAGUCCUUCUAUGUAAAAUAGAC
rnacentral:piRNA from 1 species